rnacentral:rRNA from 1 species
UUUAACCUGAUUCUUCGGAUGAAGGUUUUUGUGACUGAGUGGCGGACGGGUGAGUAACGCGUGGGUAACCUGCCUCAUACAGGGGGAUAACAGUUAGAAAUGACUGCUAAUACCGCAUAAGACCACGGAGCCGCAUGGCUCAGUGGGAAAAACUCCGGUGGUAUGAGAUGGACCCGCGUCUGAUUAGGUAGUUGGUGGGGUAACGGCCUACCAAGCCAACGAUCAGUAGCCGACCUGAGAGGGUGACCGGCCACAUUGGGACUGAGACACGGCCCAAACUCCUACGGGAGGCAGCAGUGGGGAAUAUUGCACAAUGGGGGAAACCCUGAUGCAGCGACGCCGCGUGAGCGAAGAAGUAUUUCGGUAUGUAAAGCUCUAUCAGCAGGGAAGAAUAUGACGGUACCUGACUAAGAAGCACCGGCUAAAUACGUGCCAGCAGCCGCGGUAAUACGUAUGGUGCAAGCGUUAUCCGGAUUUACUGGGUGUAAAGGGAGCGUAGACGGCUGUGUAAGUCUGAAGUGAAAGCCCGGGGCUCAACCCCGGGACUGCUUUGGAAACUAUGCAGCUAGAGUGUCGGAGAGGUAAGUGGAAUUCCCAGUGUAGCGGUGAAAUGCGUAGAUAUUGGGAGGAACACCAGUGGCGAAGGCGGCUUACUGGACGAUGACUGACGUUGAGGCUCGAAAGCGUGGGGAGCAAACAGGAUUAGAUACCCUGGUAGUCCACGCCGUANACGAUGACUACUAGGUGUCGGGGNGCAAAGCUCUUCGGUGCCGCAGCAAACGCAAUAAGUAGU